rnacentral:rRNA from 1 species
ACGCUCGACACCUACGGGAGGUAGCAGUGAGGAAUAUUGGUCAAUGGACGCAAGUCUGAACCAGCCAUGCCGCGUGCAGGAUGACGGCUCUAUGAGUUGUAAACUGCUUUUGUACGAGGGUAAACGCAGAUACGUGUAUCUGUCCGAAAGUAUCGUACGAAUAAGGAUCGGCUAACUCCGUGCCACAGCCGCGGUAAUCUGAGCGGGCUGGCAAGGC